UACGUAGGGAGCUAGCGUUGUUCGGAAUCACUGGGCGUAAAGCGCACGUAGGCGGAUGUGUCAGUCAGGGGUGAAAUCCCGGAGCUCAACUUCGGAACUGCCUUUGAUACAGCACGUCUUGAGUCCGAUAGAGGUGGGUGGAAUUCCUAGUGUAGAGGUGAAAUUCGUAGAUAUUAGGAAGAACACCGGUGGCGAAGGCGGCCCACUGGAUCGGUACUGACGCUGAGGUGCGAAAGCGUGGGGAGCAAACAGG
rnacentral:rRNA from 1 species